rnacentral:rRNA from 1 species
UACGAAGGGUGCAAGCGUUACUCGGAAUUACUGGGCGUAAAGCGUGCGUAGGUGGUUUGUUAAGUUGGAUGUGAAAGCCCCGGGCUCAACCUGGGAACUGCAUUCAAAACUGACGAGCUAGAGUAUGGUAGAGGGUGGUGGAAUUUCCUGUGUAGCGGUGAAAUGCGUAGAUAUAGGAAGGAACACCAGUGGCGAAGGCGACCACCUGGACUGAUACUGACACUGAGGUGCGAAAGCGUGGGGAGCAAACAGG